CCAUGAGUAAAGUGGCGACCGGGUGAGUAACACGUGACUAACCUACCCUUGAAUGGGGAAUAACCUUCCGAAAGGAGGGCUAAUACCGCAUAAAGUCCUAAGGAUGAAACGCCUAAGGACCAAAGGAGCAAUUCGUUUAAGGAGGGGGUCGCGGUUGAUUAGCUAGUUGGCGGGGUAAUGGCCCACCAAGGCGAUGAUCAAUAGCCGGCCUGAGAGGGCGCACGGCCACACUGGAACUGAAACACGGUCCAG
rnacentral:rRNA from 1 species